UGUUAGUAACAUUGUUAGCGGAAGUGUCUGCGAUAAUUAACUCCAGGCCGUUAACAUGUGUACCUACGGACUCUGAUGACCCAUUACCUCUAACACCUAAUCUUAUCAUCACUCAAAAGCCUAGUGUAUUAAUUCCAAAGGAUGUGUCAUUCGAUUGUAAAGACAUGUAUUAUGCACAGUGGAAGCGUGUACAAUACCUUUCGAACGUUUUCUGGAAACGUUGGCGAGUGGAAUACUUGCAAACUUUACAAAUUCGACAGAAAUGGACUCAAGAAAGAGAAAACAUUCAAGAAGGAGAUGUCGUGUUGCUCAAGGACAAUCAAGUUAAUCGCUUAAGUUGGCCAAUGGGAAUAGUCACUAAAACAUUCCCUAGUGCUGACAAUUUAGUACGUAAGGUAGAAAUUCGUAUAGUGCGUACUGUGGACAAAGACUGUGUGAAACCAGCUUUCUUCAUUAGACCAGUGACAGAACUUGUGCUAUUGUCAAGAACUUAUGAAUAGUGUAGUGGCAUAAAUAGCAUGCCAGACGGGGAGUGUACUGACUCGUCCGUAAUUAUUUCAUGAUGUUUCCGAAAGUUGACUUAUAUUUACUAUCUUCUUCGUUACUUUCCCCUCUUUUGUAAUUUCCCCAUAUUUACAUGCUCACGUUGAUGAUUCAGCAUCAUUUAUUGAUAUAUCUGCCAGAUUCCGGCACAGUCUUUUUACCGUUUGAUGUUCACGUUCAGUUUGGAGUUAUACUUACCUGUCAACAUUUGUAAUCAUUCAUUGAGCACCAGCAUACCUUUGUUAUUCAUGCUACAUUGUGUUAAUAGAGUGGAUUAUAUGACAAUAAAUAAAACGGUUAUCUUUAA